CUCAGUUCGGAUUGGAGUCUGCAACCCGACUCCAUGAAGCUGGAUUCGCUAGUAAUCGCGCAUCAGCCACGGCGCGGUGAAUACGUUCCCGGGCCUUGUACACACCGCCCGUCAAGCCAUGGAAGCCGGGAGUGCCUGAAGUACGCGACCGCAAGGAGCGUCCUAAGGUAAAACCGGUGACUGGGGCUAAGUCGUAACAAGGUAAC
rnacentral:rRNA from 1 species